rnacentral:rRNA from 1 species
AGACCCGAAACCCGGUGAUCUAGCCAUGGGCAGGUUGAAGGUUGGGUAACACUAACUGGAGGACCGAACCGACUAAUGUUGAAAAAUUAGCGGAUGACCUGUGGCUGGGGGUGAAAGGCCAAUCAAACCGGGAGAUAGCUGGUUCUCCCCGAAAGCUAUUUAGGUAGCGCCUCGUGAAUUCAUCUCCGGGGGUAGAGCACUGUUUCGGCUAGGGGGCCAUCCCGGCUUACCAACCCGAUGCAAACUGCGAAUACCGGAGAAUGUUAUCACGGGAGACACACGGCGGGUGCUAACGUCCGUCGUGAAGAGGGAAACAACCCAGACCGCCAGCUAAGGUCCCAAAGUCAUGGUUAAGUGGGAAACGAUGUGGGAAGGCCCAGACAGCCAGGAUGUUGGCUUAGAAGCAGCCAUCAUUUAAAGAAAGCGUAAUAGCUCACUGGUCGAGUCGGCCUGCGCGGAAGAUGUAACGGGGCUAAACCAUGCACCGAAGCUGCGGCAGCGACACUAUGUGUUGUUGGGUAGGGGAGCGUUCUGUAAGCCUGUGAAGGUGUGUCGUGAGGCAUGCUGGAGGUAUCAGAAGUGCGAAUGCUGACAUAAGUAACGAUAAAGCGGGUGAAAAGCCCGCUCGCCGGAAGACCAAGGGUUCCUGUCCAACGUUAAUCGGGGCAGGGUGAGUCGACCCCUAAGGCGAGGCCGAAAGGCGUAGUCGAUGGGAAACGGGUUAAUAUUCCCGUACUUGGUGUUACUGCGAAGGGGGGACGGAGAAGGCUAUGUUGGCCGGGCGACGGUUGUCCCGGUUUAAGCGUGUAGGUGUGUGUUCCAGGUAAAUCCGGUUCACUUUAACACUGAGGCGUGACGACGAGGCACUACGGUGCUGAAGCAACAAAUGCCCUGCUUCCAGGAAAAGCCUCUAAGCAUCAGGUAACAUCAAAUCGUACCCCAAACCGACACAGGUGGUCAGGUAGAGAAUACCAAGGCGCUUGAGAGAACUCGGGUGAAGGAACUAGGCAAAAUGGUGCCGUAACUUCGGGAGAAGGCACGCUGACACGUAGGUGAAGUGAUUUACUCAUGGAGCUGAAGUCAGUCGAAGAUACCAGCUGGCUGCAACUGUUUAUUAAAAACACAGCACUGUGCAAACACGAAAGUGGACGUAUACGGUGUGACGCCUGCCCGGUGCCGGAAGGUUAAUUGAUGGGGUCAGCGCAAGCGAAGCUCCUGAUCGAAGCCCCGGUAAACGGCGGCCGUAACUAUAACGGUCCUAAGGUAGCGAAAUUCCUUGUCGGGUAAGUUCCGACCUGCACGAAUGGCGUAAUGAUGGCCAGGCUGUCUCCACCCGAGACUCAGUGAAAUUGAACUCGCUGUGAAGAUGCAGUGUACCCGCGGCAAGACGGAAAGACCCCGUGAACCUUUACUAUAGCUUGACACUGAACAUUGAGCCUUGAUGUGUAGGAUAGGUGGGAGGCUUUGAAGUGUGGACGCCAGUCUGCAUGGAGCCGACCUUGAAAUACCACCCUUUAAUGUUUGAUGUUCUAACGUGGACCCGUGAUCCGGGUUGCGGACAGUGUCUGGUGGGUAGUUUGACUGGGGCGGUCUCCUCCUAAAGAGUAACGGAGGAGCACGAAGGUUGGCUAAUCCUGGUCGGACAUCAGGAGGUUAGUGCAAUGGCAUAAGCCAGCUUGACUGCGAGCGUGACGGCGCGAGCAGGUGCGAAAGCAGGUCAUAGUGAUCCGGUGGUUCUGAAUGGAAGGGCCAUCGCUCAACGGAUAAAAGGUACUCCGGGGAUAACAGGCUGAUACCGCCCAAGAGUUCAUAUCGACGGCGGUGUUUGGCACCUCGAUGUCGGCUCAUCACAUCCUGGGGCUGAAGUAGGUCCCAAGGGUAUGGCUGUUCGCCAUUUAAAGUGGUACGCGAGCUGGGUUUAGAACGUCGUGAGACAGUUCGGUCCCUAUCUGCCGUGGGCGCUGGAGAACUGAGGGGGGCUGCUCCUAGUACGAGAGGACCGGAGUGGACGCAUCACUGGUGUUCGGGUUGUCAUGCCAAUGGCACUGCCCGGUAGCUAAAUGCGGAAGAGAUAAGUGCUGAAAGCAUCUAAGCACGAAACUUGCCCCGAGAUGAGUUCUCCCUGAGACUUAAAGUCUCCUGAAGGAACGUUGAAGACGACGACGUUGAUAGGCCGGGUGUGUAAGCGCAGCGAUGCGUUGAGCUAACCGGUACUAAUGAACCGUGAGGCUUAACCUUACA